rnacentral:rRNA from 1 species
CCUACGGGGGGCAGCAGUGAGGAAUAUUGGUCAAUGGAGGCAAGUCUGAACCAGCCAUGCAGCGUGCAGGAUGACGGCUCUAUGGGUUGUAAACUGCUUUUAUGCGGGGAUAAACCCCGUUACGUGUGUCGUAUUGCAGGUAUCGUACGAAUAAGGAUCGGCUAACUCCGUGCCAGCAGCCGCGGUAAUACGGAGGAUCCGAGCGUUAUCCGGAUUUAUUGGGUUUAAAGGGUGCGUAGGCGGUCGGAUAAGUUAGUUGUGAAAUUUUGGGGCUCAACCCUGAAACUGCCGUUAAUACUGGUGGACUAGAGAGUAGCAGAGGUAGGCGGAAUGCAUGGUGUAGCGGUGAAAUGCUUAGAGAUCACAAAGAACACCGAUUGCGAAGGCAGCUUACCAAACUAUAUCUGACGCUGAGGCACGAAAGUGUGGGUAGCAAACAGGAUUAGAUACCCCGGUAGUC